AUUGAACGCUGGCGGCAGGCCUAACACAUGCAAGUCGAACGAGUGGCGGACGGGUGAGUAAUGUCUGGGAAACUGCCCGAUGGAGGGGGAUAACUACUGGAAACGGUAGCUAAUACCGCAUACCAUCGGAUGUGCCCAGAUGGGAUUAGCUUGUAGGUGAGGUAACGGCUCACCUAGGCGACGAUCCCUAGCUGGUCUGAGAGGAUGACCAGACACACUGGAAAUGAGACACGGUCGAUACUCCUACGGUAGGAAGCAGUGGGGAAUAUUGCACAAUGGGCGCAAGCCUGAUGCAGCCAAGCCGCGUGGAUGAAGAAGGCCUUCGGGUUGUAAAGUACUUUCAGCGGGGAGGCGUAACACGCAGAAGAAGCACCGGCUAACUCCGUGCCAGCAGCCGCGGUAAUAC
rnacentral:rRNA from 1 species